rnacentral:rRNA from 1 species
UACGUAGGUGGCAAGCGUUGUCCGGAUUUACUGGGCGUAAAGGGCGCGCAGGCGGCUGGUCAAGUCCGAUGUGAAAGCUCCCGGCUUAACUGGGAAACGGCAUCGGAAACUGAUCGGCUUGAAGGUGGGAGAGGGUAGUGGAAUUCCCGGUGUAGUGGUGAAAUGCGUAGAUAUCGGGAGGAACACCAGUGGCGAAGGCGGGUCUCUGGGCCGAUACUGACGCUGAGGAGCGAAAGCGUGGGGAGCGAACAGG